CGGUCUCACUACUGGCAGUCAGGCGAUGGAGUACGAAGGUCCCGUGAGUUGUCGGUGUUUAUUGUGCGGAAAGCGAUGGCAGGUGGUUGUAUAAGUCUGAAGUAAACGGAAGUGGCUCAACAAUUGUGUGCUUUGGAAACUGUACAACUUGAGUGCAGAAGGGGAGAGUGUAAUUCCAUGUGUAGCGGUGAAAUGCGUAGAUAUAUGGAGGAACACCGGUGGCGAAAGCGGCUCUCUGGUCUGUAACUGACACUGAGGCUCGAAAGCGUGGGGAGCAAACAGGAUUAGAUACCCCAGAGUC
rnacentral:rRNA from 1 species